rnacentral:lncRNA from 1 species
GGAUGGUCGGCGAAUUUGCCAAUCUUGCUUUGGUAAAUGUCUUGAGGCAUGAAUGUUGAUGAGGUUACGUGAUCAAACGCUCGAAGCAGUCAAGCUAGCAAGACAAGGAAAAAAAAGUUACUAAAGUACGUGACGUAUGUGUGAUGCUGGCUCAGGGAAAAUGUCAUCUUGCAGCAUCGUGAGGGUCCAGUGUCUCAGCCAUUUGCUUUGAUCAGUGCGAGGCGAAGGUCUUGGACUGUAAACUGCAUGAGCACCCGUCCAAAUAAGACACAAAGGCCUCAAAACACAACCAUAGCGACAGACAGAGAUCCAGCACAGAGCUUUUAAAGGAUCGGAAUCUUUGAGAGGGCAGAAGAAAGAAGCGUUCGGUGAUAAGGUGUACCUGUAUUUGUGAGGCAAUAAAGGAGAGGUCACAAACAACAGGAAGUGGAGCAGGGGGAGUGAAAGUUCUUGCUGAAGGACCUAAGUUCUCUUAGCCGGAGGCUUGAGCACCUGCACGCAGUGACCGCUGGUGGCUCUAGGACAAGAGGUUUGAUUGACAGCAGCCCCGGCUGGAGUGUUAUUCAUCAAGAGGAUGUAACACACACUGAUAGACGUCUUUAUACAGCUGUCAUUCCAAAGCUGUCUGUUCUUCAUCUCAGAGUAAAAAAAAGGUAAGUAUUAGUGACUUUAUUUCUGGCUUUAUGUUUUGUGACUAUGCCUUUGUAUCUCACAACUGACUAUUUUUCUUUUAAUACUGACUUUAGUAUGUUAUUUUAGUAUAGAUUAUAUUCUUAAUAAUAUUAGUUAUUAUUAAUAAUAUUAAUAUAUUAAUAAUUCUAUAAUUAAUAUUACUAGAAAAACCAUAUGAAUUUUACAUGUGACAUGUGACGUACAUAAUAGUAAUCAAAGUACUUAAACUUAAUUAUUUCAGUCAGUCGCCAAAGCAACAUUUCUCAUUUUCAUUAAAAUGUUUAAUUUUAAUUAAAAAAAAACACAUUAAU